AGCGAACGCUGGCGGCAGGCUUAACACAUGCAAGUCGAGCGCCCCGCAAGGGGAACGGCAGACGGGUGAGUAACACGUGGGAACGUGCCUUUUGGUUCGGAACAACCCAGGGAAACUUGGGCUAAUACCGGAUAAGCCCUUACGGGGAAAGAUUUAUCGCCAAAAGAUCGGCCCGCGUCUGAUUAGAUAGUUGGGGGGGUAAUGGCCAACCAAGGCUACGAUCAGUAGCUGGUCUGAGAGGAUGAUCAGUCACAUUGGGGCUGAGACACGGCCCAAACUCCUACGGGAGGCAGCAGUGGGGAAUAUUGGACAAUGGGGGCAACCCUGAUCCAGCCAUGCCGCGUGAGUGAUGAAGGCCUUAGGGUUGUAAAGCUCUUUUAGCAGGGAAGAUAAUGACGGUACCUGCAGAAAAAGCCCCGGCUAACUUCGUGCCAGCCGCCGCCGUAA
rnacentral:rRNA from 1 species